GCCUGAAGAAAAAGAAAAGGGAUCGCCAUAAGAAGUGCCCAAGAGGACAGCAAGACCAAUGAAGAGUGAAGGAGUCUGUCAGAGGAGAGUGACCAGCUCAGCUCAGGAGGAGGGGAACAUGGUGUUGAGAAUUUACAUGAAUCCUGGACUUCCAUCAAGGGAUCAUCAAUGUAGGGCCCACCCCGUGGAUCCCGAGGCUGUGAAGAUAAAUCUCACCAAUCAGCUGCAAGUGGUGGUGUCUCCACCGUAGCCUGUGUGGUAAUGCUGACUGCAACAAAGCAGCUGACGUGCAGCUGAGAAAUCCCUGUGCUGAAUAAGCUACCUUUGAGGAUUUGUUUGUACACGUGCACAAAGCAAUGUGUAUGUAGACUACUAAAAUGUGACUCACAGAGGAAAAAGAGCCAUGAAGAAACCUCUGAGCACCAACAUGAUGCCCAGAGGUAAAGUUCCAUACCUGGCAAACCCAUGUUCACCGGUGACUGCCAGUUGUGACUGCUUACUUAAUGUUUCUGAUUGCUUUAUGGCGUUUUCAAGCACAUAUUGAAUGCCUACUAUAUACACUUCUUCCAGGCUGAUGUGCCUUUGAAAAUGAGUUCCAGUCUACAGGAGGUAGGUGAAUGUCUGUUUGAUUCCUCGUUCCUGCAGCGUCAUCGUCCCCACUCCU